UACGGAGGGUGCGAGCGUUGUUCGGAAUUACUGGGCGUAAAGCGCGUGUAGGCGGUUUUCUAAGUCUGAUGUGAAAGCCCGGGGCUCAACCCCGGAAGUGCAUUGGAAACUGGGAGACUAGAGUACCGGAGAGGAGGGUGGAAUUCCUGGUGUAGCGGUGAAAUGCGUAGAUAUCAGGAGGAACACCGGUGGCGAAGGCGGCCCUCUGGACGGAUACUGACGCUGAGACGCGAAAGCGUGGGGAGCAAACAGG
rnacentral:rRNA from 1 species